UGAGCCUGUGAAAACUGACCGAGUUCGUUGUGAUCUCGUGAAAACAACAAGUUAGGUUGGGAGCUUGUAAAACAACCGGCUGUAAUCUGAGGGAUUAUAGUGAAAUUUCUAAGAGGUCUUGGGGAGUGGAUGUAGGUGCUGGGGUGCACCGAACUACUAUACAUCUUUGUGUUUGUAAUGCCUUAUCUCUUAUGUUCCAUGCCUUACAUUCAUACCUGAUUGUGUAAUAUCUCUAGCUUUAUUUCCAAUUGAUUUAUAAGUAAUUUUUAAGAACUUGCUUAGCUUCCACUCCAUUCUUACCAUUCACAUAGAUUAAAAUUGAUCAUACAACUAUAAGUUGAUUUUAGAUCAAUUGCACCCUAAAGCCAUAAUAUAAUUGCUCUAGCUUAAGUUUCCACUGCUUUACUUGUAAUUGCCUAGAGCUUAAAAUAACAUCUUAUCAUUCCGUUACAUUCAAUUCAAAAGGAAACAUAAUUUUUGGAAAACCUAAUUUAUCCCCCCCCUCUUGGGUUGUCACCUUGGGCAACAAGUGGUAUCAGAGCAGGUGCUCUAAGGUUAAUUGUUGAUCUCACGAUCAAGAGCCAAAGAUCAUGAUAACUCAAAUAUAUAGUUUUCUAGUAGAGGGAUAAUUAAUUGAUAGACCUCCACUAUUUAAUGGCAUAAACUACACAUAUUGGAAAGCACGCAUGUGCAUUUUUAUUCAAUCACAAAACUAUGAUUUAUGGAAUAUCAUAAUAAAUGACCUUCAAACACUCUCUCAA
rnacentral:lncRNA from 1 species